GGAGGCGUGGCAGAGCGGCCGAAUGCACCUGUCUUGAAAACAGGAGACCUUCACGGGUCCGGGGGUUCAAAUCCCU
rnacentral:tRNA from 1 species